rnacentral:tRNA from 1 species
GCGCCCGUAGCUCAGCAGGAUAGAGCAACAGCCUUCUAAGCUGUGGGCCAGUGGUUCGAAUCCACUCGGGCGUACCA